GGGGGAAAGGCGGCAGCACCCGGGAGGGGCUGCGAUGGCUUGUGCCUCUCCCACCCACCCAGCCCUCCAAGAGCCAGAGGUCUGAGCUUUUUCAUUCAUCUUUUAAGGAAGGCGCAAAGGUGGGGGGGGGUGGGGGUCCUGCCGAGGGAGGAGCUGAAGCCGCCACGACACGUGGGGACCCGUCUGGCCCAACCCCUUCAUUUCACUACGGGGUGGGGGGAGGAGGAAGUGGAGGGGAGAAGGUCGGCGAGGGCGAGGUGGGGCGCAAGUCCCGAGGAGCGGAGAGCCGGGGUCGCGGGCCCCGGGGGCGGUCGCGAGGGCCUGCGAGGGCCGCCGGCGGCUCCGGCCACUUACCUGUCCGCCGAGGCAGAGCCGCAGCCGCUCCGCGGGGCCGCGGGUUUCCCGACGGGACGUCCUGGAGGGCGGGGCCGGGGCGGGCCGUGCACGGCCACUGGGGCGCGCCCUUCGCGCCCCUCCCCGGCGAGGUGCGGGCGGACCCCGGCGCGCCCCCGAGCGCCGCUGCACCCGGAGGCCCGGAGGCCGGGGGAGGGCGCCCCCGCCCCGGGCAUCCCCCCGCCCCGCCGCUGCUGGGAGCCCGGCUUCCCCAGCCCUCGGCCACCCGGGGCUGCAGUCUCGGCGCCGGAAGAUGCGAGCGUCCGGUCACCCCAAAGACCAGAGGCGCCGACCGGGCGGCGGGCGCAGCGCGUGCAGGGAACCGCGGGGGGCGGCGCGGGGCGGAGGGGUGCGGCGGGGGGCGCGGGGCUGGGGCUGCAGGGCUGGGGGGCGUGGGGCUGGGGACUGUGGCGGGGGGCGCGGGGCUGGGGCUGCGGGACUGGGGAGCGCGGGGCUGGGGGGUGCGGCGGGCGGAGGGGUGAGGCGGGCGGCGCGGGCAGGAGGGGUGCUGCGGGCGGCGUGGGGCUGGGGCGGGCGGCGCUGGGCGGAGGGGUGAGGCGGGCGGCGUGGGGCUGGGGCGGGCGGCGCUGGGCGGAGGGGUGCGGCGGGCGGCGUGGGGCUGGGGCGGGCGGCGCUGGGCGGAGGGGUGAGGCGGGCGGCGUGGGGCUGGGGCGGGCGGCGCUGGGCGGAGGGGUGAGGCGGGCGGCGUGGGGCUGGGGCGGGCGGCGCUGGGCGGAGGGGUGCGGCGGGCGGCGUGGAGCUGGGGCGGGCGGCGCUGGGCGGAGGGGUGAGGCGGGGGGCGCGGGGCUGGGCUGCAGGACUGGGGGGCGCGGG
rnacentral:lncRNA from 1 species